CUGCAGCCGAGCGCCCGCCCCGCUGACCCCUUCCCUCCCUCCCGGCUGGCGCGGGCGGCCCCGCUCUCACCCCACCCCGAGGGCGCUCACCUCCUCCUCCUCCUCUUCCUCCUCCUCCUCCUCACUCCCUCCUGGAGACCGUCGGCACCGACGCGCCGGCGUCCCGGCCCCUCCCUCAGCUCAGCGCCGGCCCCCCCUUCCGCCCCGCCGCCCGGGGACCCUCCCUGCCCGCGGGGACGGCGGGACGGGCCCGCCGGGAGAGCCCGGCUGCCGGAGCGGGGCACGGGCGGCAGGAGCCCGGGGAGAAGCGCUGGAACGGGAAACGAACCGCGCGAGGAAAGCGCCGAGCCCCUCAGCAAGAGUUUUGGGAGCGGGGAGGGGUGGGAGGAAUGAAUAACAAGGAGUUCUGCACCAGGAUGGGCUGCUAGAAGACAGAGGAAGCCACACUUGCCAGCUCAACUUCUAGUAUUGUUCUGCAGAGAUUGCUGUAAGGAAAAAUGAAAGAGAAG
rnacentral:lncRNA from 1 species